AUGCCGCUCAGGCAGCAGUGGAACGUUAUGGUGUGGAAAGUGCGCGGAAUAAAUUCUGAAGAAAAAACUCUAGCUAUAAAGAAUGCGGUCGAUGCCUGUGGAUGUAAUGUCGUAUGUUUGCAGGAGACUAAGCGCGCCUCUUUUGAUUUAUCUUAUAUUAAAACUUUCUACCCCUGUCAUUUCGAUAAGUUUGAAGUUGUUCCCUCCAGUGGAGCGUCCGGUGGCUUCAUUACUAUUUCGAACAACUCAGCUUUUGAUGGAACUAUGUGUUUCUCUGAAAAUUUUGUUCUUGGUAUUUCCUUCACCUGCAAAUUUCUGGACGAUCAUGGGUGCUGUGUAAUGUUUAUGGACCCUAUCGAGGAGAGGACAGAAGAAUGUUCACUGAUUGGUUGUAUGAUAUGUCCAUUCCUGACGAAGAGGAUUGGCUUUUAG
rnacentral:rRNA from 1 species